UUUGAACUCAAUUUUGACAGUCGGGUCAAUGGUUAACAUGGUGUUUUCUUGUGAUUAUAUUUUGUGUCUUGAAUUGUUCUAGAGAUGCCAUGUCCUUGUUUUUCAAUUGGGGUGUGUAUAAAGUCAAAAGCCAGCAAAUCAUGUGAUUACUUAUGUGAUUGGGACAUCCAGUACCGGGCGAAACAACAGGCAAUUAUCAUGGGCGACACACCAGGCUCUGUCCUUUUUUUGUAUUACAUAUGAAAUAAUACUAUUUAUUUA